rnacentral:rRNA from 1 species
GGAGAUUCAGCGCGUCUCCGAGCUGGCGAGCGGCGGGGUUAGCGACGGACGUCCUUCGGGACGGCUGCGCGCCCCGUCACCGCGUCCGGUUUGGAACGCGUGCACUUCUCCCCUAGUAGGACGUCGCGACCCGUUGGGUGUCGGCCUUAGGCUAGCGGUGGAGCCCGCGAGGACGGUCCCGGCCGUCCCUUGCGGACCCGCGAUGCCCGGCCGGCUCGCCCGACGGUUCCGAAAUGGCUUGGAGCCGCGAUUCGUUCGCGUCCGGCCCGUCGCAAGCUCGGACGGUUGCCCGACAGUCGGACCUAGCGCCGACACUGGAGCCGUUCGGCUGCUGGCGGCGGAGACCUCGGACGGACUCCUAUCACGCCAGUCGGCGACGCUUUAGCUUUGGGUACUUUCAGGA